UCAAAGAUUCGAACCUGCAGCAGGUUUGAGUUGAGCGCAGCGAAACAACGGAGCCGCUCGCGGCGACGGCCCGAAGGGCGAGCGAAGCGAGUCAUCCUGCACGACCCACCA
rnacentral:sRNA from 3 species